rnacentral:sRNA from 1 species
ACCGUUCUUCGGUCAAGGGUAUACGAUAGCUGCGCUCCCCUGCUAGAACCUCCAAACAAGCUCAAGCCUGUUUAAACUUAAUUGGCAGCAGUAAGACUUAAGC